CUGGCUCCGUGCCGGGGCUCGGGACGCCGGGAGACCUUAUCGGGAGCUACGGGCCCGCAGAGACGGGAGAUCGCUCCAAAAAACAUCAGGGAAGAGGGGAGGACAAGGGAACCCACUAAGAGGGAACCCACUGAGGGCUCCGCCCGCACCCCUUGGCGGCGACUCCGAGCUUCUCGCUACUCACGUCGCAUCCCGGCCUCGUGUGGAUUCGCUCAUUCGCUCUGCUAAAAUGAAAUGACCGCGCAGCCGCUUACUAGUGGUUGUGUAAGAUUUGCCCUCGGCGUCUUUUUUCUUAAACGUGGGUAAACCCUAGAGUGCUUAUGGGUAUCAAAUGUUUGGCGCAGUCACUAUUCCAAUGCUAGCUUUUCUUAAAAAAAAAAAAAAAAAAAAAAUCUGUUUUGAGUACCCUGUCCGGUUCUGUGCUCGGCGAUGAGUAUAUACGGCGACGACCGAAUGAGACCAGGUUCCUCAGAGCCCACGGUCCACCGGGAGAGACGUAAGCGCACAUCCACAGGGCCAUGGGAUGUGCCCACGGGGAGGUAAAGUUAGCAAGAGAAGUCAAGAAAGCGACCUGUGAGCAGCCUGCCCCUCCAGAUGACCGGAAAAGUGUGCCAAGAGGAGGGAACAGCAAAGACACAAAUCCUGAAAGUCGAAGGAAUAAAAGGGAGCCAGUGUGGCUGGAACCGAGUGAAGGUAGAGGAGAAAUAGACAAGGAUGUAUGAGGAGGUUAGGGAGGGAAUGCCUACUACUGUUUAGGAUGUUGACCUAACAAUGUAGAAUGAUACGGAUAUCGGAGCCUGGAGAGAGAAAUUCGGGAGUCAUCAGUGUUUGGAGACUGGAUGAGAUCACAAAGAGACUGGGACACAUCCCUUUAGCAGUCACGACAUGAGAAGCAACCAGCAAAGGAGACAGGAGUGGCCAGGGAAAUGGCAGAAGAUCCCUUUUGCCCGUCCCAGUCUCCCUGCCCCACUAAGCCCCCUGUCCAGGGGCUUCCCAGAGCUGACUGGAGCCCAGCCCCAAAUCCAGCCUGGAUUGUGGGCGAACAGAGUCGGAGAUCCUGAACACAAACUGCGAGUUAGCUAUCAACAGGUACCUCCAGUGCCCUGUCAAUCACCCACGUGAGGACAACCUGGAAGCAGGAAAGAGAGAAAACAGAGCUUCCUUAAUCUCCCGGAAUCCUCACUUCUCCCCUUCUUGUUGGUCCAGAUCGUCAAGAUCUCUGGCCUGGGUGACGCCUCCUAAUUCUUGCUGCCUUCUCUCACUAGUCAAAACCAUCCAUUGGCUUCCCAGUGCCCUUAGCAUUAAAUCCAAGCUUGGUGACCCCUGCUGCCGCCCCAGCAAAAAAAAAAUCUCUUUGCCAUCCUUCCUGUUCUGUACCUAGUUAAUGCCUUCCCAUCCCUCAGAACCCAUCAGGACACACGUGAGUGUGAAUGCCCCGGAUUGCAUAAGCAUGGAGGUAUGCCAGGGUGUACUCCAGAGUGAGCAAAAUGGGAACCCAGUCAGAAAGUGACAUGAAAAUGUAGGCUGAAAUUCUGUCAGUUAAUACUGCAACAAAACUCUCUGAAACCAUCUCAUUUACCCAGUCGACCAACUUGAAAGACACUUUCCUUUUCAUCUGUGAAGCCCGCUGCUGGGGCUAGCAGGCUGUUAUGACUAAGCACUUCCACUUCCGUCUCAAACUGCUUACUUCCUGAAAGGUGGCUGUCUGAUCCUAACGUGUUUACGCCAGAAGUUCUUAAUAGUUUACUACCAAACUAAUGAAAUGAAUGCAAGACAGUUGUUUAUAUACAAACCAGACUGCUUGCAUUGGAAAGAUUAAAAGUGGGUUGGUUGUUAAAAACAUGCCGGGCGUAGUGGCUCACUACAGGCUCAAAGGGCCUGUAAAUCCCGCACUUUGGGAAGCCGAGGCGGACAGGUCACUUGAGGUCAGUAGUUCAGGAGCACUCUGGCCAACAUGGAGAAACACCACCUCAAAUACAAAAAUUAGCGGGCAUGGUGGGUGGCAUGUGCCUGUAGUUCCAGCUACUCAGGAGGCUGAGGCAGGAUAAUCACUUGAACCUGGGCAGGGGGUGGGGGGACGCCGAGUUGCAGUGAGCUGACAUUUUGCCACCGCACUCCAGCCUGGGCAACAGAGCAAGUUGACUCCAUCUCUUAAAAAAAAAAAAGCUGCCAAGUUAGGUACAUGCAAAGCAACUGUAAAUUAUUUAAUGAAAAUGCUCAUAAGAACCUA